UACGGAGGAUGCAAGCGUUAUCCGGAAUCCUUGGGCGUAAAGAGCGUGUAGGCGGUCCGGUAAGUCCGCUGUGAAAGUCGGGGGCUCAACCCUCGAAUGCCGGUGGAUACUGUCGGGCUAGAGUGCGGAAGAGGCGAGUGGAAUUCCUGGUGUAGCGGUGAAAUGCGCAGAUAUCAGGAGGAACACCUAUUGCGAAGGCAGCUCGCUGGGACGUAACUGACGCUGAGACGCGAAAGCGUGGGGAGCAAACAGG
rnacentral:rRNA from 1 species